AUUGAACGCUGGCGGCAUGCUUUACACAUGCAAGUCGAACGGCAGCGCGGGCUUCGGCCUGGCGGCGGGGGGCGAACGGGUGGGUAAUGCAGCGGAACGUGCCCAGCAGUGGGGGAUAGCGCGGCGACGGCGGGAUAAAUACCGCAUACGCCCUGAGGGUGAAAGCGGGGGACCGAAAGGCCUCCCGCUCUUGCGGCGGCCGAUGUCGGAUUGGCUGGUUGGUGGGGUGAAGGCCUACCAAGGCGACGAUCCGUAGCUGGUCUGAGAGGCCGACCAGCCACCCUGGGACUGAGACACGGCCCAGACUCCUACGGGAGGCAGCAGUGGGGAAUUUUGGACAAUGGGGGCAACCCUGAUCCAGCCAUUCCGCGGGCGGGAAGAAGGCCUUCGGGUUUUAAACCGCUUUUGUUCGGGAAGAAAUCCUCUGGGCUAAUACCCCGGGUGGAUGACGGUACCGGAAGAAUAAGCACCGGCUAACUACGUG
rnacentral:rRNA from 1 species